UCGAACAGGGAUUGUAGGUCCGAGCUU
rnacentral:sRNA from 1 species